AGUAGGCUGAGCAUCACAAAGCACAUCCUCAGCGACUUCUGUGUGGUGAGAUACAGCUUUAAUUUCCCUCCUUACACCUGCCACAACACAGAAGUUUGAGCACAACCAGAGGGAGCAGACUGGAAUUUAAUAGCUCUGCACAGUGAGCAAUGUGAUAAGGCAGAGGUCAGACUGAAGUAGGUGAGCUGCCAAUGGGAGGUAAGAAAAGAAAGAAGAGCAUCAGUAAUUAUUUGUAGUAGUUUGACCAUAAAAGGGAAGAAAGAUUGGAGAGCAGCUGGAGAGAGGUUUUAUACAAUCAAGAAGCACAUGAAAGAGGCCUCUUUCAAGCAUUAUUAAGCUAUGAAAAUGGAACUGAAGCUUAUUUUCCCCCUUCAAAUGGACAUUUCCUGGAGUAUUCUGACUCUCUGCAGCCUCUGGGAGAACAAGUUGAUCCGUUCUCUGGGCUGCCACUGCACUGGGCACACAUGCUUUACCGCACACAAAACAGAUCCUGUGUGAGUAUUCCUGCCACCUCUCCCGAGUCUCCUUCUCAUCUCCAGGUAUCUAGGGCCCAACGGCACCCAACAAGGGUGCUUGGCAAACAGUUAUUGAAAGAAUGAAUGCUUCCUUCAACUCAAAGUAGUGGUGGGGGGGAGAUUAUAACAUGGUAAAGCUGUUAACAUUUUAUAAAACCAAUGAACAAAUGACUAAGUGCCAAACAAAUCUGGGGGGAGGAGAAAAGAUCUAGUAUAAUUAUACUUCCAUAUUGCUGCAUAACAAAUUAACCCCAAACUUGCAGACUUACAACAGCAACCAUUUCACUUGCUGCCAACUCUGUAACUUAGGCAGGGUUCUGUGGGGACAGCCCACCUGCUCCGCAUAGCAUCAGCCUGGGGUGGUUUCAGCUGGGGUUGACCUCACCUGGCUGGUGAGCUAGUGUUGGCUGUCAGCUGGGAGUUCAGUGAAGGCUGUUCUCUGGGGGCUCGGCUUCUUAUCCACCAGUCCUCUCCAUGUUGGUAGGUUAAGGUUCUUAAGAAUGGCAGUCCCAGCUCAGUCUAACUUUUUACAUAGUGAGUGGCUUCCUCGGGAGUGCAAAUGCAGAAGCUACCAGGCCUUCUUAAGGCUUGGACCCAGAACUGACACAGCUUUUCUUCAGCCAUAUUCUGUUGGUUAUAACAGGUCACAGGGCCACCACAUUGCACCAAAUUGUUUGGGAAUAGUCAGAGUCCUCAGAGAAAGAUGAUCAGCUCACUAACAAAUGAGGCCCAACUGUAAAACUUUUGUAGAAUCCCAUGUGACCGAAGUUCAAUGUGUUCACUGAGAAAAUUAAUGACUGAAAAUUGUUAUAAAUUUAGUAACAUGUUUAAAUGAAAAAUACCUCAUCAACCACGAUAACACACACUUAAUUUUCAAAAUAGCAACGUGCUUUUUCAACAAUAAACAAGCUUGAUGCACACAUGGGUUCCUGUUUCCUUUGUAAUCAAACAGUGGACCCUUUUGAAUAUAUAUCACAGACAAGUUACAGACCACAAAUUUAGACUAAAGGAAUGCUUCCUAAUAUUGGGUCACUGCUUCUAUGGUAUGUUAACUAAUUGCAGUGUUUUAUAAUAAGCACUGCUGGCAUAUACUAGACCUACUAUUUAAAUUAAUGUAUUUGUGCUAUCUAAUGAUAGCCUCAGAACUCUCUGUGGUCUGGGGAACCCAGGACAGUUACUCCUUGAAUAAUUGUCCACAAUGGGCCACAAGUCUGUCCAAUCAGAAGAAAGCCUCUGUGUUAAGACGUUUGGAAUAAUUCAUCAGCACACUGUUUUUGUACUAUUUACUCUGCUGUUUACAAAGCAUGUUCAGUGGAACACUGUAGAUUGUUAAUAGAUAUUCUAAGAUCAUGAAUAAGGAUGUCCUGCUCAAGUAAGUAUGGACCGCUCAGUACAUACUAUUUUAUUCUUAUAAAUUUAUUUUCACAGACAAAUGCCCUGAGAAGUCUUGCAAUUAGAAAUAAAACUUUAAGAAGAAAAUAAAAUACAAAGCAUUUCCCAAACUUACUUGACCACUUAUAAAUGAAUAAAGGACUAGUCCCCCUUACUAACACAGCUUCACUCAGGAGAUGGUUCAACAGAAUAUACUUUGGGAAAUGUUACUUGACUAUUUUUUUUUUCUGUUUACUAUUAAAUUCACUACUGGAUAUUCCAAAACUGCUUUUGUUCAC